CCUCCAUUUCUUGGCAUACAUGUAAUUGUUCAGUAUUCAUGUGUGUUAUGUACGGAGGUAAACUAGAUCCAGUGCUAUGUCUUCGGUACCAGUGCGUUCAUCGUCUGCUGGUUCUAUCCUCAAUCGCUGGAACAACA